rnacentral:misc_RNA from 1 species
AACACUGUUAACCUGCGGUACCUGCGGAGGGAUCAUUACCGAGUUUACAAACUCCCAACCCUUUGUGAACCUUACCAUAUUGUUGCUUCGGCGGGACCGCCCCGGCGCCUUCGGGCCCGGAACCAGGCGCCCGCCGGAGGCCCCAAACUCUUAUGUCUUUAGUGGUUUUCUCCUCUGAGUGACACAUAAACAAAUAAAUAAAAACUUUCAACAACGGAUCU